rnacentral:rRNA from 1 species
CAUGCAGUCGAGCGGUAGGCCCUUCGGGGUACACGAGCGGCGAACGGGUGAGUAACACGUGAGUAACCUGCCCCUGACUCUGGGAUAAGCGGUGGAAACGCCGUCUAAUACCGGAUAUGACACACCACCUCAUGGCGGUGUGUGGAAAGUUUUUCGGUCAGGGAUGGACUCGCGGCCUAUCAGCUUGUUGGUGGGGUAAAGGCCUACCAAGGCGAUUACGGGUAGCCGGCCUGAGAGGGCGACCGGCCACACUGGGACUGAGACACGGCCCAGACUCCUGCGGGAGGCAGCAGUGGGGAAUAUUGCGCAAUGGGCGAAAGCCUGACGCAGCGACGCCGCGUGGGGGAUGACGGCCUUCGGGUUGUAAACCUCUUUUACCACCAACGCAGGCUCCCAGUUCUCUGGGGGUUGACGGUAGGUGGGGAAUAAAGACCGGCUAACUACGUGGCAGCAGCCGCGGUAAUACGUAAGGUCCGAGCGUUGUCCGGAAUUAUUGGGCGUAAAGAGCUCGUAAGCGGCGUGUCGCGUCUGCUGUGAAAGACCGGGGCUUAACUCCGGGUCUGCAGUGGAUACGGGCAUGCUAAAAGUAGGUAGGGGAAACUGGAAUUCCUGGUGUAGCGGUGAAAUGCGCAGAUAUCAGGAGGAACACCGGUGGCGAAAGCGGGUUUCUGGGCCUUACCUGACGCUGAGGAGCGAAAACAUGGGGAGCGAACAGGAUUAGAUACCCUGGGAGUCCAUGCCGUAAACGUUGGGCGCUAGGUGUGGGGACUUU